CCCUUAGAUGUUCUGGGCUGCACGCGCGCUACACUGAAGCGUUCAACGAGUAUUCACCUUGCCCGGGAGGGUUGGGUAAUCUUUUCAAAACGCUUCGUGAUGGGGAUAGAUUAUUGCAAUUAUUAAUCUUCAACGAGGAAUUCCUAGUAAGCGCGAGUCAUCAGCUCGUGCUGAUUACGUCCCUGCCCUUUGUACACACCGCCCGUCGCUCCUACCGAUUGAAUGUGUUGGUGAGGAGCUCGGAUUGGCAGCAGUUGGUGGUUCGCCACCGGCUAUUGCUGAGAAGUCCUCCAAACCGCCCCAUUUAGAGGAAGGAGAAGUCGUAACA
rnacentral:rRNA from 1 species